rnacentral:rRNA from 2 species
AUGUGAAAGCCCACGGCUCAACCGUGGAGGGUCAUUGGAAACUGGGGAACUUGAGUGCAGAAGAGAAAAGCGGAAUUCCACGUGUAGCGGUGAAAUGCGUAGAGAUGUGGAGGAACACCAGUGGCGAAGGCGGCUUUUUGGUCUGUAACUGACGCUGAGGCGCGAAAGCGUGGGGAGCAAACAGGAUUAGAUACCCUGGUAGUCCACGCCGUAAACGAUGAGUGCUAAGUGUUAGAGGGUUUCCGCCCUUUAGUGCUGCAGCUAACGCAUUAAGCACUCCCCCCGGGGAGUACGGUCGCAAGACUGAAACUCAGAGGAAUUGACGGGGGCCCGCACAAGCGGUGGAGCAUGUGGUUUAAUUCGAACCAACGCGAAGAACCUUACCAUGUCUUGACAUCCUCUGACAACUCUGCACAUACAUCGUUCCCC